ACGGAGGGUGCAAGCGUUAUCCGGAUUCACUGGGUUUAAAGGGUGCGUAGGUGGGCAGGUAAGUCAGUGGUGAAAUCCCCGAGCUUAACUUGGGAACUGCUGUUGAUACUAUCUGUCUUGAAUAUCGUGGAGGUUAGCGGAAUAUGUCAUGUAGCGGUGAAAUGCAUAGAGAUGACAUAGAACACCAAUUGCGAAGGCAGCUGGCUACACGGUAAUUGACACUGAGGCACGAAAGCGUGGGGAGCAAACAGGA
rnacentral:rRNA from 1 species